rnacentral:lncRNA from 1 species
GNNNNNNNNNNNNNNNNNNNNNNNNNNNNNNNCGGAGCGGGGAGGGUUGGGGGGGUCCCGUCCGCCGUCCGCCGUCCGCCGCUGUCGCAGCCCCGCCCGGAGCUCCGUAUCUAAAAUAAAACCUUUACCCUGACAUAGAAUUAUUCUUACAUCUAAACCAUAAGUGCUUCAUAAUUUAAGUAGAAACGUAUGACAAAUGCAUCAAUAUGUUGCAAUAUAUGACAUUUCAAAAAAUGUACUUUAAGUCAUUUGCUUUCCUUUUUUUUUUUUUCUUAUUCCCGUUUUUUUUUUUUCCCCUUUUUUUUCCGCCUUUUUCUUUUCUCUUUUCCCUUCUUUACUUCUUUUGACGUUUUUCUUUUUUCCCCCUUUAUGCUCUUCGUUCUCUCUUUGCCUUUCGAGUCCAUUUUUCUCAUUUCUUUUUUUCUCCAUUUUCUCCAUUUUUUCCUUUUUCUCAGUUUUUCUCAAUUUCCUCAAAUUCUCUCAUUUCCUCCAUUUCCUUUUUUUUUCUCAUUUUUUUCUUUCUUCUUCAUUUACGUCCAUUUUUCUUCGUUAUUUCCUUUUUCUUUAUAUUCUCCCCUUUUCUUCCAUUUUUCUCCAUUUUUCCAUUUUCUCAAUUUUCUGCAUUUUUUUUCCCAAUCUUUUAUCUGUUUUUCUCCAUUUUUCUCCAUUCUUCUCAUUUUCUCAGUUUUUCUCCAUUUUCUCAAUUCCUCCCCGUUUUCCCCAUUUUCCUCCGUUUUCUCACUUCUCUCAACUCUAUCCCUUUGGUCCAUUUUCUCAUUCUUGUCCAUUUUUCUCUCUCUUUUUUUUUUUUUUUUUUUUGUCCAUGUUUUCAAAUUCUCCCAAAUUUCUUUUUUUUCCUCCAUUUUCCUCCGUUUUUUCCCCGAUUUUCUCAAUCUUUUCCUUUUCUCCAUUUUCUCCGUUUUCUCCAUUAAUUUCUUUUUUUUUUCUCCAUUUUUCUCCGUUUUCCCCUUCUCAAAUCCUCUCCGUUCUCUUCCUUUUCUCCAUUUCUCUCCAAUUUUGUCCAUGUUUUCAAAUUCUCCCAAAUUUCUUUUUUUUCCUCCAUUUUCCUCCGUUUUUUCCCCGAUUUUCUCAAUCUUUUCCUUUUCUCCAUUUUCUCCGUUUUCUCCAUUAAUUUCUUUUUUUUUUCUCCAUUUUUCUCCGUUUUCCCCUUCUCAAAUCCUCUCCGUUCUCUUCCUUUUCUCCAUUUCUCUCCAAUUUCUCCCCCCAUCCCCUCGCCCCUUUCCCCCCUGCCGCCCCGCCGCUAGUUGUGCGAGGUCAUGUGGCGGGGG